GACGUAGGGGGCAAGCGUUGUCCGGAAUCAUUGGGCGUAAAGCGCUCGUAGGUGGCCUGUCGCGUCGGCUGUGAAAACUCGGGGCUCAACUCCGAGCUUGCAGUCGAUACGGGCAGGCUAGAGUUCGGCAGGGGAGACUGGAAUUCCUGGUGUAGCGGUGAAAUGCGCAGAUAUCAGGAGGAACACCGGUGGCGAAGGCGGGUCUCUGGGCCGAUACUGACACUGAGGAGCGAAAGCGUGGGGAGCGAACAGG
rnacentral:rRNA from 1 species